AGUGGCGGACGGGUGAGUAACGCGUGAGAAUCUGCCUUGGGGUCGGGGACAACCACUGGAAACGGUGGCUAAUACCGGAUAAGCCGAUUGGUGAAAGAUUUAUUGCCCGAAGAGGAGCUCGCGUCUGAUUAGCUAGUUGGUGAGGUAAGAGCUCACCAAGGCAGCGAUCAGUAGCUGGUCUGAGAGGACGAUCAGCCACACUGGGACUGAGACACGGCCCAGACUCCUACGGGAGGCAGCAGUGGGGAAUUUUCCGCAAUGGGCGAAAGCCUGACGGAGCAAGACCGCGUGAGGGAGGAAGGCUCUUGGGUUGUAAACCUCUUUUCUCAGGGAAGAAGCUCUGACGGUACCUGAGGAAUCAGCCUCGGCUAACUCCGUGCCAGCAGCCGCGGUAAUACGGAGGAGGCAAGCGUUAUCCGGAAUUAUUGGGCGUAAAGCGUCCGCAGGUGGCGAUUCAAGUCUGCUGUCAAAGCACGGGGCUUAACUCCGUAAAGGCAGUGGAAACUGAACAGCUAGAGUGCCGUAGGGGUAGAGGGAAUUCCCGGUGUAGCGGUGAAAUGCGUAGAGAUCGGGAAGAACAUCGGUGGCGAAAGCGCUCUACUGGACGGCAACUGACACUCAGGGACGAAAGCUAGGGGAGCGAAUGGGAUUAGAUACCCC
rnacentral:rRNA from 1 species